CGCUGGCGGCAGCCUACACAUGCAAGUCGAACGCGUGUAGCAAUACACGAGUGGCGCACGGGUGAGUAACACGUGGGAACCUGCCCUGGAGUGGGGGAUAACCCGGCGAAAGCCGGGCUAAUACCGCAUACGACCUGAGGGUGAAAGAUUUAUCGCUCUUGGAGGGGCCCACGUCGGAUUAGCUAGUUGGUGAGGUAACGGCUCACCAAGGCAAUGAUCCGUAGCUGGUCUGAGAGGAUGAUCAGCCACACUGGGACUGAGACACGGCCCAGACUCCUACGGGAGGCAGCAGUGGGGAAUAUUGGACAAUGGGGGCAACCCUGAUCCAGCAAUGCCGCGUGAGUGAUGAAGGCCUUAGGGUUGUAAAGCUCUUUCGGCGGGGACGAUGAUGACGGUACCCGCAGAAGAAGCCCCGGCUAACUUCGUGCCAGCAGCCGCGGUAAUACGAAGGGGGCGAGCGU
rnacentral:rRNA from 1 species